GACGAACGCUGGCGGCGUGCCUAAUACAUGCAAGUCGAACGCAGUGGGGACGGGUGAGUAACACGUGGGUAACCUCCCAUCAGAGGGGAUAACACUUGGAAACAGGUGCUAAACCGAUACUGAUGGAUGGUCCCUCGGUGCAUUAGCUAGUUGGUGAGGUAACGGCUCACCAAGGCCACGAUGCAUAGCGGACCUGAGAGGAUGAUCAGAAACACUGGGACUGAGACACGGCCCAGACUCCUACGGGAGGCAGCAGUAGGGAAUCUUCGGCAAUGGACGAAAGUCUGACCGAGCGACGCCGCGUGAGUGAAGAGGGUUUUCGGGUCGUAAAACUCUGUUAUUGGAGAAGCGGUAUCUAACCAGAAAGCCACGGCUAACUACGUGCCAGCCGCCGCGGUAAUUC
rnacentral:rRNA from 1 species